UAGACGAACACUGUCCAAACGUCGCGUCGCGUCAAGCAAGAAUAUAAAAUCGCAUCAAUCAGGCGUCUAGCACAUAAAUGCUUGACCCAACUAUCGAGCAAAUUUUGAAA